AAACACCUGUGCAUCUGGGUCUCGUGUGUACAUUAGGGAGAAUGAAUUCCCCGAUGGCAAGCAAACGUCCACUCGACCUUAGACUACUGCCACGUUAAAAAGACAAUCCAAGUGUAUUUGAGAAGAAGUCGCAGAAAUUGUUAUCUGAUUUCAAUAUCAUAAUUACUGUACAACAUCCGCAUUCUAUUCGACACUUUAUACUGAUUUGUUCUCUUCGACAGAGUUACGAUACGCAGCUCGUACGGAUCUAACCGAGUUAAAUUGUUUGACAUUGGAAAUGUUUGAUAUGGAAAUACGUCGAAGAAUGUUAAAUCCCCUUUUGCCGUAGGGGUUCGUCAUGCACCAAGGAUAUAAUAUCUGUACGAAUUUGAUAACGUGGCGAAUAUGGUGAGAAGAAUUUCUACAGCAAAUAAACGCCCACUAACAACCGUGUGUCGUAUGCAUGAUACAAUCAGCGGGCCUACACGUUAUAUAUUAUUAACCAUGUCUGUUCGUGUGUUAUUAUACAAGCAAUAUAUGUAUAUAUAGUUA
rnacentral:lncRNA from 1 species